rnacentral:lncRNA from 10 species
GUUGUCACUUUUGCUAGAUAUUGACAAAAUCAAGUCCCAGAACCCAGGCAAAUAUAAGGUAAGUCCCUCCCACACUCAGCUAGGGCAGUACAAACAAGCUAGACUGUAUCAGGAUCCCAGGACUCCAGCUGGAGGGAACGUUGAGCCUGGGUUGGGGGUGGGGGCUGUGGUCAGAUGCACAUCCUGGGCAUAGAUGGUAACUCAGGCACCACAGGUGCGCUGGGCUCUGCUGACCCUCCCUGGCGUCAGAAACAAGGCAAAAAGGAGCUUUCUGCAGAAGGAAACCUUCCUUCCUUCCUUCCUUCCAGAAGUGCUGACUGUGGGAUGACUGCCGUUUGGGGCAGGGAGUCUU